rnacentral:rRNA from 1 species
UACGUAGGGACCGAGCGUUGUCCGGAAUCAUUGGGCGUAAAGAGCGUGUAGGCGGCCACUUAAGUCCUGCGUGAAAUCUUGCGGCUCAACCGCAAGCGGUCGUGGGAAACUGGGUGGCUAGAGUGCGGGAGAGGAGAGUGGAAUUCCUGGUGUAGCGGUGGAAUGCGCAGAUAUCAGGAAGAACACCGAUGGCGAAGGCAGAUCUCUGGGCCGUAACUGACGCUGAGGAGCGAAAGCGUGGGGAGCGAACAGG